GGCAGCAAGGCGCGGGGCAGAAGGGCACGGUCAUGGUUUCCUUCCCCGGACGCAGCUAAGUCCAGACCCCGCCGGAGGAGCCGGAGCGGGGGACUUGCCUCUGAAGACUGCGACGAGGUGCCACCCGGUCGGGCACUGGAGCGCGUGCCCACCAGCCUCCCUCCUCGCCGCACCAGUCAGAACUCCAGUCCACAGUGGAUACUUUCGGCACAGAUGCACCAUUUUCAAGUGUCCCCAAACCACACCCCAGCAGAGUUUUGGUGUUCUGACCAUAUCAUCCAGCUGAUCUCUAUGGAAAAGGAAAAGGGAAGAGAGUGCUGACCUCAGUUUCAUUUCCUGCUAACGUCUACCAAUUACGGAGUAUGGAACUUCUGCCCGGUGCACGGGGAGCCUUAGCUCUGAUCUUCACAAGGACCCCACAAGUUAAUGAUGACCCCGUUUUAAAGAUAAAGAAUCUGAGAAUUUCAGAGGAAGUUGGAUUCUCUCAAGGAAGUUUCUGUCACCUGCAGUGGAGUACAACACCUGAGAGAAAGGGGUAGACCUUGCCAGACCUUGCUCAGAACACAGGAAUGAGGACUCUCUGAUAGCAUUCUGUAUCAUCCAAUUGACUACACAAGACCAAUGGGCUACAGGCAGCAUGUCUGCCAUGCUGGCAGCAAAAGGAGAGGCUGACAAACUUCAUGAUUAUGUCAAAGCAAAAUUUGCACUAGACAAAGUCAAACAGACAUUGAAGAUCUUAUUCAAAACUAU